UACGUAGGCAGCAAGCGUUGUUCGGAGUUACUGGGCGUAAAGGGUGUGUAGGCGGUUCUUUAAGUUUGGUGUGAAAUCUCCCGGCUCAACUGGGAGGGUGCGCCGAAUACUGAGGGACUAGAGUACGGGAGAGGAAAGUGGAAUUCCUGGUGUAGCGGUGAAAUGCGUAGAUAUCAGGAGGAACACCGGUGGUGUAGACGGCUUUCUGGAUCGUAACUGACGCUGAGACACGAAAGCGUGGGUAGCAAACAGG
rnacentral:rRNA from 1 species